AGCGAGAGAGAGAGAGAGAGAGAGAAUUCCACAUUGAACCCGAGCGAAAAAGUCAACCAGAGCAACAGGAAAUGAACAAAUACAUGGAAAGAAACCAGCUAAUGAAGGCCAAAAAAAAAAACGAAAAUAGACUUACCUCGGACAUCCUUCACCCUUCACCGAAACUACAGCCGAGUGGGGGAGCAUAGUGGGAUUCCUCGAAAAUCUCAACAAUCAAAGGAAAACCUCCAGCGAAGGCAAAGGGGAAGAAAUACACCCACUGGCCUGGGAUCUCAUUUCGUCCCUUUUCACUCUCACCCAGCCUCUCAUCUGACUUUCCAACUCGGCGAUGGCUUUACGCUUCACGGGAGGAAUCCCCUCAGGGGGCAGGUCAAUGAAAACCACACAACUCUGGCAGUCGAGGCGCUCUUCCUGUUCGGCUACGCGGAUAUCAUGCUCGGACCGGACAAACCACGAUCGCGAAGACCCUUCGAGGAAGGAAGUGACAUCGACAGGUGCUGCCUCUUUCCUUUCCUUACUCGGGCGAACAAAGGCCACCUUUCUUCCAGGAAGCUCCAAAGUGACUUGGGUGCAGUUUUUGUAAAUAAACAGCAGAGAAGUCAACAGUCCUUGGAGGGAUUGUGUGAAGUGUCACAGACUGUGUUGGAUUCCCAGACUGAUAAAUUCCAGAACAAACACUGCAGAACUAAGAAUGCCGGAUUUGAACGCAUCGACCUGAAUCAUUCCUUUAUCCUAGCAAGGUUUUCUGGUUCCACUGGUGAAGAGCAAAUUUUAAUCAGAGAUGGCUUGCUAUGUUCCUAAAUGUAUUUCUGAAGCCCAUU